UACGGAGGGUGCGAGCGUUGUCCGGAAUCACUGGGCGUAAAGGGCGCGUAGGCGGCCUGAUAAGUAGGGGGUGAAAUCCUGCGGCUUAACCGCAGGGCUGCCUUCUAAACUGUCAGGCUCGAGCACAGUAGAGGCAGGUGGAAUUCCCAGUGUAGAGGUGAAAUUCGUAGAUAUUGGGAAGAACACCAGUGGCGAAGGCGGCUAACUGGUCCGAUACUGACGCUCAUGUGCGAAAGCGUGGGGAGCAAACAGG
rnacentral:rRNA from 1 species